UGUUCAUGAAUUUGUGAUGUCUGCAUAUAUUAGAAAAAAAAAUAAGACUUUUAAAUCUUCCAAAAGUUAUUAAAUAAGUUUUGCUACAUAACUCUUUUUAUUAUCCUUAUUGUCUUAAUUUGUAUAAAGUUCAUAUCUUUUCACAUUUUAUAUUACACGUAUUAUACUUCAUCAACUCAAAUUACAUAUGAAAAUUUACUAUUACAAGAGAUUGGAUCCAUUGUUAAUAAGUGAGCACCCAUUACCAUGAUUGAAUGGAAGAAACUUGAUUUAGAGUGAUAAAGAGGAGUUACCUUGAGUAGACGUGCAUGGAAAAACAUUAUGGUAUGAGGAAACGAUGAUUACCUCGGAGGAGUUGUUCCAUGGUGUGGAUGGCAGGGGGAGCUUUUGCAGUAGUUUCAAGCUGUCUCUGGGGGCGUUCGAGUUGAGCCAUUUCUGUGUAUGAAAGCCGGAACACAAUUUGUCUCAACCUUGUAAUAACUCUGCUUUUAUAUUUUGGUUUAUCCGUGGACAAUAAGAGGCAGAAAUUGAACAGAAAAAACGAACCGUGCUCAUGCAAUUGCUUCUGGGGUUNUUGCAGUUUGCAAUGUUGAAUAACCUCC
rnacentral:lncRNA from 1 species